CUACUGAAAAGGAACUACCUGCUCUGACAAACGACUGAACUGUGUGCGCACACAAUCUGCCCCUGCUCCUGGAGGGAACUGACUGUACUUUCCUCUGCACUGACCCCUCUCACGAUCAAUUAGGCUGGAAAAGACCUCUGAGAUCAUCGAGUCCAACCCAUGACCGAACACCAAGUUUUUAAAGCGUGGCCUGCCCAGUACGGCCGCUAGUACAGAAUGCACUUCCUUUAUUAUUAACAACAGGAUAUAAAUCCUUCGUGGAAACAACCUAUUCGUCAGCUUUGUUCCUGACAGAGUCCCUCUCUGGCUUCCCUGUAAACCUCCUUUAGAUACUGGAAGGUCACUCAGUUCUCCACACAACCUUCUCUUCUCCAGGCCAAACAGCCUCGACUUUCUCAGCCUAUCUUGGAAGGGGAGAUGCUCUAGUACUCUUACUAACUUCGUUGCCCUUUUCUGGACUUGCUCCAACAAUUCCAUGCUCUUAAGUUGGGGACACCAGAACUGUACACAGCACUCCGGAUGAGGUCUCACCAGAGAAGAGCAGAGAGGCAGGAUUAUCUCCCUCAGCCUGCUGGCUAUGCUGCUUUUGAUGCAGCCCAGGAUUCUAACAGGGCAAGUUUCAGUGGUUGCUGGUGAUAAUAUCUGACUGCAAAAACGUAUUCAAAGCAAUAUAGUAAUUCAAAGCAACCUAUUAACGAGCUCUGAUCCCAAAGAAAAGCUAGCUGAAGAUAGUAAUUCAGUGUGCAUAGAACACUGUUCUUACCUGAUAGGCAUCCCCAUGGGGGAAAGGAUGGGUUCAGCCUGUUGACUGACCCCAAAAAUUAUGAUGGAGUCUUCCCUAAUUUCCCCCUAUUCUUAACUCACUUUUGUAUUAUUUCCUUAUGUUUAGGUAGAGCUUGAGUGACUCCAAUCAUACAUCUUACUCAGUGAGCAGUGGUCAUACCCUGGGGGUGGAUAUCUCAGUUAGUACCUGAGAUAACCUUGGGAUGGGAAAUGCAUCAGUCCAAGGAGAAUGAUUUCACCAUUGGUUGCUGAUUCAACAGUGGGAUGUCUUCCUUUAUCUCUCUUGGUUUUCAGCUGCUGUGCAGCUUAUCAGCUAGAAAGUACCACCAAAUUCCCUCCUGUGCAAGGGAGCAUGGCUUACAGUGUCUCCAUUCUGCUCCACACACCAUUUAGUCCUGAUACUAGAGUUUUGAAGUGUAACAGGACUAGUACAAGAGAAUGUACCAUGGAAAAUUACCUAUAGCUGAGCCAAGCAAUUUAAAGAAACUAGCCAAGCAAAGAAAAUAAACAAUGAAGAAUGGGACCAAAACAGCCAGGUGGGCAACACCCAUUUACUCUGUAACCAGGUGUAUUGUCUUCAAGAUGUUCAUAAGGCAGUCACUUAGAACUUUGGGGGCUCCAGACAGAAAUGACCACCAGAGACCCCUGGUGAAGCCACUCAGAGAUCUUAUAAGGAUAUAUGCUAGUAAGUGUUGGGAAAUGUCAUUAAUAUGUAACAGGAAUGCAGAGAACAAAAAUUAAUAAUCAUGUAAUGCUGACAUAUCAGCUGUAGCAAAGAUACCUCUGUGUGCACUUUGGGUUAAGGCAGUUUAUUUAAAGCAAAAAGCAAACUGUAAGCUUACGUGCGCAAAAGUGAAGCGAAGCAAAAGAUAGCAGGGUUUUUUCUCUACUUCCCAUGAGCAGCGAUGGUCGGCCACUCCCGAGCAGCAGGGCUUCAGGACGCGUGACGGUUCCUCAGCAGGCAGCCAUUGGAGACAAUGAAUGCCUGCCUUCCUGCUCCAUGCUUUAACUUUUCUAUCUGAGCUGACAUCAUAUGGUAUGGAAUACCCCUUUUUGUUAGUUGGCCUACUUGGGUCCCUUCUCAGGAUCUUGCCCUCGACUGAGGAAGGAAUGUUACAGUGCUGAUGCUGUGCUCAGCAGUAGCCAAAACAGUGGUGUGUUAUUGACACCCUUCUAGCUACCAAUGCAAAGCACAGCACUGUGAGGGCUACUGAGGGGAAAUGAACUCCAGCUCAGCCAAACCCAGUAUAAUCACUCACAGUCUUUAUGCAGGCAUAAAGGGACAGAGUAUGCAAGUGGCUCAAAAGAGGUCUUCUAAAACUAUUUGUUUAUUAGUAUUUAUUACUACAUUUUAUUAGUAUGAAUUAGUUGUAAACUAUUAUUUUAUUACUGUUACUUUUAAUAUAAUUCCUUUUCUAGAAACUUUUUACUAAUGCAGUGUGUUAUGUGCAAAGUUGCUCCCUUGAGAACAUAACCCUCAAAGGCAAACAGGGUAUCUUCUAUGUCAAUAAUUGUUAUGAAGAACUUACAGGUCUCCAAUUUUAAUUUUCAAUCAAUCUCCUAUACUUUACAACUUAAUCCAGCAGAUAUAUAUGCUAUGCCUCCUCAACUGCAUUUCUUCUAUGUCAGACAUCCUGUAAAUUAUGACUGUGGUAUUUAAAAACUUUUUAAACAAACAAAGGAUUGCUUAAUAGUUUAAUGUAUGUAAUAUAUAUCCCAAGUUUGGGCAUUUCACUUCAGGGCUAUGAGAUUAGCAACUAUAUAGAAUUAGUAGUUGCAUAAGGAAACAGCAUCUUCAAAUGAGAAGACUCAUGGAUCUGCAGAAUGAGUUUUUAUUCAGAUGCAAGUUUAGAAAUUUCACUGUUGAAAAUGUCACCACUGAACUACAAAGUAUCACAAAGAGAAAAGGGUGAGUAUACAUAAAUCUGAUUAUGUUUUUCUUUUAAAAAUAAUUUCUGUCUUUGAGAUUAAGCCAUAGUACCCUAGAGGUUUACACAAUUCAUUCUCAUCAGCAAAACUGGAACUCUGAACAAAGGGUUAAAUAAAGCACACAGAAUUCAUGUCAGCGUUUUUUUAUAUAUAUAUAUGAGUGAAAAACUACAAUAAUUAAUUUCUUUUUGAGGGAAGAACUGACUUUAUUUCAGAUGAUGAAAUAUGCUAUAGAAGACAAAAUUGGAAUUAUUUUCUCUUUGUUGCUGGCUAAUAUUUUGCUUGAAAAUAUGUUUAGAAAAGUACACAGAACAAAUUCUUUGUGAAAGUAGCACAUCUAGAAGUUCACAGAUAGCUGACUUCAGAUGGAUGAAAACCAAAGCACGAGUUAGGAUCCCAGUUCCUUAAGACCACUUUGGCAAUUCUAGUUUUCAACUUUAAUAAGAAUAGAUGGACAAGGAAAAAAAAAUUGAACAUGAUAUUUCUAAAACAAGAUAAUUCUAAUAACUCAUCAUUAAUUCUACAUUUAUGUCAGGAACAUUGAAAACUACAACCUAAGAAAAAUUACAAGAUCUUAAAUCUGAUUUUUUUUUUAAUUUAUUUCAGAUUCAUAAAUUAACAGUGGUUUCCAUUUUAACAUGUAAUUUAUUCUUUCCUGAACAAGACAAAAUGGUACAUUACCAGCUCUGGAAGGACUUCAAGUAAAGCUCAAGUUCAUACUACUAAUGAAUGUAAAUUCUUGACUGGUACAAGGAUUCUCUUCACAUUCUAUGAAAACGGACAUGUGUUUUUCCCCAUUUGCCAAAUAUAAUAACUCUAUUCCUUAAAAUACUUCUAUUCCUUUUGUCUGUAUCCCCAAGGCCUUGAAAAAGAUUCUUAGCAGCAACAAAACAGGACAGACCUGUUUCUUAGUCUUUUUUUCUGCUUGAACACAAGCACAGCAGCAAAUGAACUCCCAUGAAGUCACAGAACAGAAAAAACCUCACAAAAUCUCAACGGCGCUCCUUGGCCAGGGAUUGUUUUACGUAUGUUUACUAGUGUCUAUGUUUUCAGUUCUCUACAGAAAUUAAAGAUAAUGUACCAAUCUACAAACAUUUCAAACACUUACACAAGGAUUCAGUAAACAAUUAACAUUAAUAAAUAUAAUUUGCUCCUUCAAAAAAAUUAAUUUUUGAAGAAAAUAUAAUUUAUUUGGCUUGCACACAAUUUUAGUGCAGUUUAAGAUGGUCAGGUGGAACAACAAAACCUCGAAACAGUUCAUUUUAGUACUGCCCUUUUCUAGAUGAUUUACCUAGUAAACAAAUACAAAACAUCACGGCUUUCUAUGAAAACGUUUAAAGAAUCUAUUUAAGAGCAGGGUUCCAUAUUAGAAUCCACAGUUGCUUGUACUAGCAAUCUAAAAUAAAACUUAAGUCGAAUGUUGUCUGUGCUGCUGUCCUGUGAAUCCAGAUGCUUUAGCCAAGGACAUUUCUUUUAAAUGAAUGAUGGGCUUGUACUGCAAUUUACCAGUGCUUAAUAAUCCUCAUGAUUCUUGUUGGGUCUUCUUCUGUGAGGCUUUUCCCUGAGUCAUGUAUUUAUUGGAAAGGCUGCCUAAGAUUGGGAGGAAGAAAGCAUCACACUUUAAAGGUAUUGGUUUUUUUCUUUCUUUGUUUUUUUUUUUAAAAAAGACAAGGCAUAAACCAACUGAAAGAAUCAGAAAGGAGAUAAUUACUGUUAAGUCAAACUAUAAUGAAAGGAUACACAGAUCAAUUUUAGAUCAUUACCUGCUGAAGGACAGUAAGAAAUAUUAAAAUACAAAAUUGAAAAUCAGCAUUUUUUUCAACUAAACACCUAGUGACAGAUCACUUUGUGUUAAAAAUCCCCAAACAUAGAUUUGAAAAAGCCUUGCGGUGAAGACAAAAUCCACUGUGUCUUCCCAACAAAACUGAUAAUUUGAGAUAGUUAAUUGCAGUAAAGUCUUUACAAUUUUUGGAAAACUAAUUAGGUCUCCCUUCAGCUGCCUCAGUAGAGAUUUGUAUAUUAUAAACCCAAGCUGCUAAAAGGUUUGCAGAGUUGUACUAGAAACUCAAAAUAACUGAAAAAAACCCAGUUGUUUUUAAAAUCUUCAUUGUACCUGUUAAUAAGUAUGUGAAAUUACUGUAAGGAAGCUACAUUUGUAAUCAUGCAUCUGAAGCAAAACAUCUCUGAUCCAGAAAGAAUACAUAAAGGCCUUUAUAAUAUAAUCUCACUACUACUUUUAGAUGUAAUUCUAACUUGUUUGCAUUUUGGCAGCUCAGACCAAGGAUGUAGUUUGAUUGUCUCUCCUAAGUUAUUUUAUCAUGUAUAAUUCUAGACAAUUACUCUGAGGAAGAUGCCCAAGAAAGCACUCCAUGUUUUGUCCCUGAACAACCAAAGAACCCCAUCUGUGCCAAAACAGGAAAGAGAUAUUCAUAAAAACCCACCAUAUCCUUCACAAUAAAAUAAGUGCACAGAAUUUUUAUGCCCAAGUUUUGCUUCCAAAACAAAACUUAAAAAUUGUACAUGUUUCCAGAUGAAAAAAAAAAAAAGGGUGUCUUCAAUCUAUUCAGACUGCCACUAUGUUCAGCAAAACAGGCAGAGUUUCCAUAUGGAGUGAUGGAGAAUCAUAUAAUUAUAGAAUAGUUUGAGUUGGAAGGGACCUCUAAAGGUCAUCUAGUCCAACCGCCCUACCAUGAGCAGGGACAUCUUUAACUAGAUCAGGUUGCUCAGAGCCACACCCAACCUGACUUUGAAUGUUCCCCAGGAUUCCGCAUCCAUCACCUCUCUGGGCAACCUGUGCCAGUGUUUUACCACCCUCAUUGUGAAGAACUUCUUCCUUUAAUCUCAUCUUAAAGUUGACUCUCAGUUUUAAACCGUUACCCCAUGUCCUAUCGCAACAGUCCCUGCUGAGAAGUUUGUCCCCACCUUUCUUACAGGCCCCUUUCUAUAACUUAAAGGCCAAAAUAAAGUUUUCCUGGAGCCUUCUCUUCUCCAGGCUGAACAACCCCAACCUACUCAGCCUGUCCAUAGGAAAGGUGCUCCAUCCCUCUAAUCAUUGUUGUGUCUCUCUUCCGGACUCGCUUCAACAGGUUGAUAUCCUUCCUGUGCUGGGGACCCCAGAGCUGGAUGCAGUGCUCCAGGUGAGUUCUCACCAGAGCAGAGCAGUGCCCUCAACCUGCUGGCAACACUGCUUUUACACAGUUUCUAAAUUGAAAUGAAGAGAUACAAACCUGACUGGGGACUCAAAAACACUUUUCCUUUUUGUUUCUUUUUUUCUUCAUGUAUAAGCACUCCCUAUAAAAAACAUACAGACAUCAACAAAAUUGAAAUAUGUCAUUCUACAACAUAAAAGGUUUUCCCUGAAAGUCAUUCUUAAUUACUUUAUAUGGACUUUAAACCAUAUAAAAAAUAAAAGAUCAAACAAAAGGGACACUUGGUGUUUACCUGAUUUAAUCUACCAGCAUGUUUGACAGUACUGGGCAAAGAAGGGGAUCCACACGACACUUCUGGUUUUGAGCCACCUGAAAAAGUCAUAACAAUGAGCUGCUAACUUGAAACUAGUUUCCAUUUUGGAUAUCAUAAGAGAAUAUCAAAAUAUUUGCAAUCUAGAAUCACAGAAAAUAGAAGGUAAGACAGUGUAAAUUUCCUCAAUUUUAUAACAUGGAAAACUGACACAAGUGACAUGCAUCUAAGUUAGGAACCCACCCAGAACCAGGGAACUUAGAAUGAAUGAAGAUAUGGUGAUAAGUGAAUUGUCCGUAGUCUUACAAAAUGUAGCAGAUCAAAGAGCAAAGUCUGACCUCUCAGGUUCAUUUGUUCAUAGUACUUUAUUCAACUAGAGAGAACACUUCAGGCACUAAGCAAGCAAUGUAAGACAAAGCCCAACCUAUAGCAAUUCCUUUCAAAUUCAAAUAUAGAAAUUCCCAAAAUUCAGGUAACAGACAAAAACGCCUACUCCAGAAUUUAUUAUUUUAGACAUAUAUACUGUACAGCCUAAGCACAGUUCCCCUAUGAUGAAUGCUAAAACCCAUUAACUACAAGUCAGGCAUAUUCCCCUCCACCUUAGCAAACUCAGUAUCAUGGCAAACAGAAUGGCAGAAAGAAAAGCUGAAUGAGACAAGGUCAAAGAUAAACAAACUCAAAAGUUAAAUUUAGACUUGACAUACACCUUCAAAAGGUCAGAGGCUGAAUGAAGCAUGGCUUCAAUUUUUAAACAUCUUUUCUGUCCAUCCAAUAUUUCUAGUGGUCUAUCAAACUAGGAAUCCUUCUAAAUACCUUCACAGUUCUGAAUAUAUUUGUACCACUUUUCUCCCUCUUCCAGUAUUUUAACAGUCUUAUGCCCUCUUUCACUAAAUACAUCUGAUUAUGAAGAGUCUCCUGACCUAAGCCAGACAGAAUAUUUUUGCUAGUAGAGAAAAGCUGAUUUGAAAAAUGUUUAUACACAAGAUUCCUAUCUGUUCCUUUAAGAGGUCAAGUCAUGAGUAAUCUGUAAUUCCAGCCUGAAUUUAAAUGCACUUAGGUUUACCUACAGGGAACUGUGACACAGUGUUCCUUUGGAACCUAACCACAAGUACUAUCUAUUGUCUUAAGCCUCGGUUUUAUCUAAGAAAGAUAUUCCUUCACAACACAGAUGAUCCAAAUUAUUUAAAGGAUGACUUAGAUACUGCUAAGCAGAAGUAUUUCAUUUUUUCAUUCAGGUCUGUCAGUCAGGAUCUGUAAGAUGGACUGCUGUAUCCCUCCAACUGCUGAAUUGGCAGAAAUAUUCUUUAUUUUAUUUAAUUCACAGUAUUCUAUCUGAGCAAUCUGUAUACUUUCAUACUGACUUCAGGUUCAUAUGGAAUAAUUCUGGUUUAGGUGAUGUGAAGAGCUAUAUAAUGCUAGCUUUUGUUGCAAUUAUGAUGUACUGGAAUAGAAGCUGUAAUCUGAAAUGUUAGCAAGCUCAUAUAUUGUGACAACACCGGAAGCAAUUUCAACAUAACUGAUACUCAUACCCUUUUCAUUACAAAUAUCUGCUAAGGGAAACCAUACCAGAUCCCUUGGGAUACAGCAAAUUUCUGAAUGAAAGGUGAAGAUGAGGGGAAAAGAGGUUAAAUGUGACUGCAUUUAAAUAAAAAAAGAUAGCAUUUACAUGAUGCCUUUCAAGGUAAAAACCUUACCUGUUAGUCAAUCCUCAAAAAAUUACCAAAAACCUAUAAGCGCUGUUUAAACUACUCAGCCUGAUCUGUUUCAUACCUGCAACUCCUUUAUAGUGUGGGCAUUCCUUUUUAAUAUGACCUUCUCUUCCACAGAUAAAACAACGUUUUUCUCUUAAGUCUCUGUCUUCCAGGCGCUUCCAUUUCUCUGCUGAUUGCCUGGGAGUUUUCUCUCUUCCAGUUUCCACUAUUACCCUUGCUAGUUUCCUCUUCUGAGGCGUACAUACAUGCAACUUCCCCUCCUUGAUUGAGCUCUCCUUUUCUGUUGAUUUAUUAUGCAUUUCUUUGUCCUCUUUGCUUCUUUUCUCCUUGACUUCAGCAUACCUCUGUGUACCUUCAUAAUCACGACGCCGUCUUAGUCUGCAGAAGCAGAGAAAUGCUUCAGAGUUCACAGGCCUUACAUUCAUACACAGAGUCAAAAAAACCAGAAUGAAAAACCACGUGCUGUCCACAGACAACAGUAGUUUUUCAGUGGGUUAAAUAAAGUGAAUUCAUGUACCUUUCCCUUUGACUCUCUUACCAAACAGUGCUACACUGAUGUAACAUAUAUUUAAAAACUUAACUUUACAAUUAGAUGACAAUACAGUCCUAAAUUCUAAUAGUUAUAACUUGAAAAGUAUAAACAUGACUGAAAAUCUGGGCGCUCAAGUUGCAGACAGUGGAAGAAAAGACACACGAAGCAAAAUGCCAGCAAAGUGUAAAAAACCAGGGCUGUUGUUCUAUUUUUUUUCCUAUUUGUACAAUUUGAUCAAAACUCAGUUCCUUAUUUCUGAACCUGUGCAUAUUCACUCUAAAAAUCUCUCCUAUUGGGAGAAGCUUCUAACAUUCUAUGUAGCUUAAAGAUCUAGCAGUGGGGAAACAGCUACCACUGCCAGACUUGUUUCAUCUAACAUCUUUCUUUAUACAUGACCUAGAGAAGGAGACAUCACUGAAACCUCCAAGUCUGAAGAUGUUACUAGGCUCCUCUGGUCAUGAGAUGCAGUGCUAAUUGCAAGCAACUUGAAAAUACUUCACAAAACUGAAUAAACGGGCAAAAGAAUGGCAUGAGCUUCAAGGUGAGCUUCUUUUUUUAAAAAAAAAAGCAAAAAGGAAGACCUGGGGCUGUUUAGUCUCACCUCUGCCUUGUAAGAUCAUGGAGCAGAUCCUCCUAGAACCUAUUGCUAAGGCAUGUGGAAAACAGAGAGGCAAAUGGUGACAACCAACACACCUUCACUAAGGGCAAAUUAUGCCUGACAAAUUUGGUAGCUUUCUAUAAGAGGGCUACAGAGUUGGUGGGUAAGGGAAGAGUGACUGAUAUCAUCUACCUGGACUUGUCCAAAGCAUUUAGCACUGUCCCACACAACAUCCAUGGAAAGACAUGGACUUGACAGAUGGACCACUCACUGGAUAAGGAACUGGCUGGAUAGCUGCACUCCAAGCAUUGUGGUCAAUAGCCUGGUGUCCCUGUGAAGACCAGCUAUGGGUGGUGUUCCUAAAGGUCUGUAUUUGGACCAGUAUUAUUUAACAUCCUUAUUAGGGACAUAGCAAGUUAAUGGAUGACUAAAAAGAGAUUGGCUUCAAACAGAUACAGGAAAGUAUUACUUUACACAUCGGUCAGAACUCUUAUGGAACUGGUUGCCACAAAAGACUGUUAAGGAAACCAGGACAAUCAGGUUCAGGAAAAAAACCCAAACAAACAACUAAAAGGACGAAAUCAUAAAACAAAUCCAGUCCACAAAUGAGCAUUACCAGACCAGGGCAUGUAUAUGCUCUAACAUCUCUUAUACAGCAACUGCAGAUGCUGAGGGAAUAAGUAAGAAGAGACUACAGAAAACAGACAACUAGUUUGCACUCCAUGGACAGCACCCCUAUUGCAAUGAAUGGACAGAGGACUCAAAUGUAUCAGUGGUUUUACCCGCUAAGGCAUUUCUGUUCUUAGAUGCAUAAUCCCACUUACUUUCCCUCUAAUGUUUUGUUGAAUAUAGCUGAGUAUGUGCAACGAACUGGUGUUUCACUUUAGAAUGCAAGAUUAAAAAUCCAUGUGAGAUAGUAGUUUAGACAUUUCGCACCACCUUCAGCACUCUUUAAUUUCAAACUAUCAUCAGCUACUGUACUUGCAUUUGCUGAAGUUGAGUAAAUGUCCAAAUUAAUAGUCUCAACAAUAUAAUUUCACAAUUCUCUAAUGUGGAGUAGAGCAGCUACUUCAUUCAACCCAAUGUAUUUUUUUAUUUAGGUGAUUUUUAGUUACAGCUUUUAACAUAGAUAGACUUUAAACAAUGGUUAGAUUUUGCCAUCCAUCUUACAAGUGAGCAUAAAGGCUUUUUCAAGAUUUCAUUCUUUUUAAGUUUUAUUUGUCAGUUUUCACUAUUUUAUAGACAUGAAGUCUUUAAAGAGAUUUGUCUGAACUAGAAAACAAAAUGAAACAAUCAGUUUCAAGUUUAGACAUUUCAUAACAGGAAGAGCAACAAAAGCCAUAUAGCCAAUUUAUUUGUUGCAAAAAGAAAAUUGUUGAAUAUUUGACAUGUGGUUGUUCAGGGUCAGGAAACAUUCUCUUGGAUGUAAAACAGAACAUUAUUCUCAUAUGUGUGUGCUUACAAAAAAUAAUGCAUUCUUGUCUUGCUUUUUGACAUGAAUUACAGGAUUCUGUGAACAUGAUAAAAUUGUGUCUUGCUGGGAACGCAGAGUUCUGGUAGUAGAUGCUAUUGAAUAAAAAAAGUAUAAAAUGCAUCCAUGAAUGCUUUUCACAGAACACAGUUAUUGAGCUCUGCUUUUCUCUUUGACUACUCCUUUCCUAUAUAAUGAAGUGCAGAGUCAGCAUUGCUACCUUAAGCUAAACAGUUUUGCAGCAAUACCAUCCACCACUGCCAAAAUUGGUACUGAUACAUCUUAAUUUCGACAGUGAAGGAAAUAAUCUGCAGCAUGUACAAGUUUUGCUUUACAUUACUAUUCUAAUCUUUCUUUCUAAUCAAAUAAACCUAAGGGAAAAAAGUUACACACAGACACCAAUACUAUACUCACUUUCGUCUCAUGGGACAAUCUUUCAUGAAAUGGCCAAUUUUACCACAAGUUCUGCAGCAUCUAUCAUUUGGUGCCAGUUCUCCUUCUGUUAGUA